GACGAACGCUGGCGGCGUGCUUAACACAUGCAAGUCGAACGGAAAGGCCCUGCUUUUGUGGGGUGCUCGAGUGGCGAACGGGUGAGUAACACGUGAGUAACCUGCCCUUGACUUUGGGAUAACUUCAGGAAACUGGGGCUAAUACCGGAUAGGAGCUCCUGCUGCAUGGUGGUGGUUGGAAAGUUUCGGCGGUUGGGGAUGGACUCGCGGCUUAUCAGCUUGUUGGUGGGGUAGUGGCUUACCAAGGGUUUGACGGGUAGCCGGCCUGAGAGCGUGACCGGCCACCUUGGGCCUGCGAGACGGAGCAGACUGCUACGGGAGGCAGCAGUGGGGAAUAUUGCACAAUGGGCCGAAGCCUGAUGCAGCAACGUCGCGUGCGGGAUGACGGCCUUCGGGUUGUAAACCGCUUUCGCCUGUGACGAAGCGUGAGUGACGGUAAUGGGUAAAGAAGCACCGGCUAACUACGUG
rnacentral:rRNA from 1 species